rnacentral:lncRNA from 1 species
AAAAGGGCAAAUUUGUUUCAGUUUCUUUUGGUAAUAUUAUCAUCACACAUUCACACCCGAUACAUUUUCCUUACAAAAGUGAUAUAUAGUGUUCGUCAUAAAAAGUCUGAUCGAUACAACAUUCCGUUGAUAUACACAUUUAGCACAAUAAAACAUAAUAACUAGUUGAAGUGGCAAUAACAAGACUACAUCAAAAGAAGGAAAGGCAAUGCAAAAUGAAUUAGAACCAGCCCAGCAAUAUAUUCAGAUUUCUUGAGUCUAUAUCAUAUCUAUAUGCUGCAUAACCUCUGCUACCCAUCUCUGGAAGCUGCACAAGGAAAAACAAUCAUAAGGCAGAGCAUGAAAUGAAAAAUUAAUGGUUGUUACACAACAAUACAACAUAGAUGUAUGAAUAUUACUACUUACCUAAGAAGACGCUUAGGUUAGCAAAUUGGAUGCGAGAGAAUAGAUCAUUAUAUAACACAAAUUCCUAAAUUGCUUCCUUUCUUCUUCUUCUUCCCCUCCUCCAUGUAGGGUGGGAGGGCUAUGUUGCAACUGCCCACAGUUGGUUUCAUAGAGUUUCUUAUGUUUACAAAAUAUUGUGAAAUCCUAGUAAGCUUGUUAAUUGUAUCGAUCAAUUCAGUGACAAAAACAAGUGAUUUUGAUUUGAACAAUUGGUUUCGUUUACUCUCUACUCCGAUGCAAGUGUUCUGCAAAACAUGGUAUACCAUCAUAGCUGACUAUAACCAGUACAGUCCUCUACAACAACAUAUAUAUUGUUUCAUUAUGGUAAUGUUCAUCAACACAAAACUGGUAUGUCAUGUUAUUUGGAUGAAGACAGUGGGAAUGUGCAAAAACAAUGCAAUGAAGAAGAUCAUAAUGCUUCUAUUAGCACAUAAUGUCAAACAGAUGUUAAUCAGCAGUUAACUACUUAACUAAUCAAGUUUGAAAAACCAACACAUAUCAAAGAUGUCACAAGGCAGCUUUGAAGAUGGUGGUGGUGCUGAUGGUGAUGGUGGUGGUGUCGUGGAAAGUAUGAGGUGGUGGAGGGUGUCAGUGGAAGGUGUGGUAGUGCUGAUGGUGCUGGUGGAAUGAGCAUUGCAGGUGGCAGGGGCAGUGGUGGUGCAGGCAAUCUUACCAACCACCAACCGGUUGGUGGUAGCCACGAGAUCUUCAUCAAAGUUUUGAAUGAUGGCUGUGCGUAAUCAAACUGUAUAAAAACAUCCAUAAAUUACUGACUUGAAACUGUUAAUUUCAUGGUUCAAGUUCUGUCUCAGAAUGAAUCUAUUUUACUUGCAUGUAUUAAAAAACAUAAGUACUAAAGUUUUAGACAUAGUUACCAUCAAAAUAUUCCAAUCAGCAAAUUGGUUUUGAGAGAAUAGAUCAUUAUAACAGCACAAAUUCCUGUCAAAACCAUGUAAAAAGCACCAAGUUUGUAGCCUUCUACUCCAAGGCUACACUCUUGGAACAUGAUGUAAUCCAAAGGAUGGAGAGAAGAAGAAGAAGAAAAAUGAAAGAAGCAAAGAAAGAGAGAGCAGAAGUAACACUUCAGUUUGGAGUUUGGAGUAGUCUUAUCUAUUCUUCAUCCAAGCUACACCAUAUAUAAUCUCCAACCUGAUUUCUUUGAUUCUUUCUUUUCAUGUGAGUCUUUGUUAUGUUCUUUUCAUGUGAGUAUCUCUGCAAAUCUGAACUUAGCUACAUCACCA